GUCUGAAGUUGUCUGUCCCAAUUUCUUUUUGAGUGUGGGCUGGCUCAAUACCUCAGGGUCCAGAAAGUCCUAACCUCUCCUCAAGAGAUAUACAUGAGCCCCUGAUCCUUCAAGGACAAACCACUGUCUAGAACAGUUUCCUAGAGUAGUUCUCAAAGAAGAAGUGUUCAUGCCUGUAAUUUCAGUUACUCAGGAGGUUGAGGUAGGAGGAUCACAAAUUUGAGGUCAUCCAGGACAACUUAGUGAGACUGUAUCUCUAAAAUAUAAACAAACAAACAAAUAACUAAAUAAAUGUGUUCUUUGGCACUCUCCAUUUAUAAGAUGAAGAAUUUACCUACGUUUCUAGUCUAGAAUGAGGAUUCCUAUGAAAAUCUCAUCUUAUAGUCUAGAGUAGCAAUCUCAUGAAACAGUAGCUUCAAAUAGAGAACCAGCCUAUGGGCCUUAACACCACCAGACCUGGAGCAGAGAUUCCUCAUGGCUUGACUCAGGGUUCAAUAUACAUAACAGAGUCUUGAAUAACCAGACAGCAGAUACCACAAUUUCAAUUGCAGCUUGAAUUUCAUCGCAAUGGAAUGAAUUCUGAAAAAAAUUCUGGAGUCCUGAUUCCUGAGUCUUAAUUUCAGAGACCAGAGCAGAGGGACAAGGUGAUCUGAUCCCAUUCUUCAGUCAGGAUCAGAGAACUGACCCAGAGACAGAGGACCUGAAUCCAGAUUGUCAUGGCAGGCACCAUAGCUCACACCUAGAAACAGAGUUCAAAGCAAAAGUUUUGGUCAAGAUCCUGAGUCCAGUCCAGAGAGCAGAUGCCAGAACAUAGAGACCAAAGUCUAUCAAGGACCUACAGUCCGUACAGUAUCCUGGAAAGGGAAAUGACAUAUAGUGGGGAGACCAACAGAGUUGCCAUCUACAUGAUGCUCAGCACUCUGAGAGAAUCAAGAGAUCUGGUCCCUAAAAUAUAAAAGAUCUUCCUUACCUCUGGCAUUAAAAUGCAUUUCCUUCAGUCUACAAUGAGCUUCCUUGUACUUCUAUACUUUAGAACUGUUUCUCUUCCCCAGAAAUGCACAAUCUCUGGAUGUUCUCUACAAUAUUAUUUUUUUCUUCAUAGCAGAAAUUGUGCUAAUGUAAGUUUUACUUACCCCAUUAAAUUAUCAUCUCACAAAGGAAAUUUUUCUCCUUUGUCUCCCUCCAUCUUGUGCCAGAGACUGACCUAUAGCAGAUUCGGGAUAGUAAUCUGUAGAACAUGCAAAGAAUGGGCAUGGGGAUGUGUUGGCUCUCAGUGCAUCCAUCCCAAGCCUCUACUGUUCUCACUGUGGCCAGAAGGUGGCAGGACUGACCCAUGCCUUCCCAGUGGACACCCAAAAUGUGUUUCCUUCAAAUGCUUCUGGUCCUCAGAGUUCAGUGAGUCCCCAUCCCCUGCUGUGUUUCUUAGAGGCCAUACAGAGAUGCUGGAGAGCACAAGAUCCUCCUCCACCACCCUUCUAUGGAUCUUUAAAGAUGGGAGUGAGCGGGGGGCAAAUAUUCCUGGGUCAGACACCCCUUUUUCUAGGCCUCUGUGUCUAUCCUGUCUCAGGAAGCAAUCCUUUUCUUUCACUGUUUUUUUUUCUGAGGGAGCAAGGGGAGCAGUCAGCCUUCUGAUACAUUUUUAGUUGCUAGUUACUCUCCUCAGUCCAUUUUAUGAGUAAAUAACAGGUUUAACCAGGUAAGGGCCCUUGCCUACGUAGCUAUGCUCAGGUAGGGAUGGAGCAGAAUCACAUGUGUGCACCUACCUCUCUUGUCCCUAAUACCCUCCCAUGCCACUCCACUGACUUUGCCUGGUUUCUGGGCACCCAGCUGAUCAGGAGGAGCAAUUGGUAUAAAGCCAAGCCCUUUGGAACCAGCCUCCUCUCAGCAUUUUUGCCAGAGAACUCCUUCCUUAAUAUUAUCCUUCCCAAAUUUACUAUUCGGUCAUCCUUGUGCAUGAUCUCUACUUUUCCAU
rnacentral:lncRNA from 1 species